GGAACUUGUGUUCAAGCCUUCUCAUCUCAUCUCAUCCAACAGGGCAGGGCAAGCAUAUCAUAUAUAUCAAGCUAUCAUAAAUGGCAAAAAUCAAUGAAAUAAUUGUGACGGUGCUUUUAUCUGUAGCUCACAUGUAAAUAUAACAAAGAUAGAAUACCACAAAUAGUAAGACUUUCUAAACACAAAAACAUUUAAACACCAUUCAUACUUUUCAGCA
rnacentral:lncRNA from 1 species